UGUGUUUGAUUUCAGGUACUUGCUCCUUCCUCAUUGUGAGCAGUAAUCCAUUAUUGGAUUGAAUCCUAAAGCUUGAAGGCACAUGGGACUACUCCAUUAUUAGAGAAUAUGACGUGCAAGCCUCAGAAACGUGAGAUGUCUAUGCUUUUAUAUUCGAAGAUGAUUCGUGGCGUGGGAGUGUUGGAGGUACAUUUAGCCUAUUUAGUAACAGAUUGAUCAGUAAACAAUGGUGCAACGCGGAAUGCAGGGUCAUAAGGGGACGCACGUGGCAGUUAAGCCUGGAAGUCGAAGCAGGAGCGCCAUAGCAGCAAAAAGAUUUUCUUGACCAGGUCCGUGGAAGCCCAAGAGUCUUGUCUACAAACAACACCAGCAGAGUGUGAUACCAGCUGAUUCGACCACUUGUUUGAUACCAGUCCAAUUUUCAUUAAAUUCAGGUUAGCAAUUUCAACGCUACUGAUCUUUA
rnacentral:lncRNA from 1 species